rnacentral:rRNA from 1 species
AAUCAACGCUGGCGGCGUGCCUAACACAUGCAAGUCGAACGCGAAAGUGGAGCAAUCCAUGAGUAGAGUGGCAAACGGGUGAGUAACACGUGGGUGACCUGCCUUCGAGUGGGGGGAUAACGUUUCGAAAGGAACGCUAAUACCGCAUAACAUGCUGUCUUUUAACAGAUGGACAUCAAAGCCGGGGACCGCAAGGCCUGGCGCUUGAAGAGGGGCCCGCGCCUGAUUAGCUAGUUGGUGGGGUAAUGGCUCACCAAGGCAACGAUCAGUAUCCGGCCUGAGAGGGCGGACGGACACACUGGGACUGAGACACGGCCCAGACUCCUACGGGAGGCAGCAGUGGGGAAUUGUUCGGCAAUGGGCGCAAGCCUGACGACGCAACGCCGCGUGGAGGAUGAAGGAUCUUCGGGUCGUAAACUCCUUUCGAUCGAGACGAAU